rnacentral:sRNA from 1 species
UUCUUUUCCGCGGCAGGGCCUUGAACGUCGCCAAGCAAGUCCCAUCUAAGGGACAUAGAGUUUGUCUCUGACGGUUGACCACGGAGGUACUGGCAGCCGUUGUCGAGACAAAUCGAGGAAGGUCGGUGCGAGUUUCGCCCGGCCUUUUUUCUU